rnacentral:lncRNA from 10 species
CCCAGUUUGAACACAUUAAUUGGCAGAAGUUUCCCCUGUGAUCUUCCAGUACAACAUUCUUCCUGCAGCCACACCUGACCAGUGGGAGGACUGACUAAAUUCUUCAUCCUCUCCAUCCCAUGCCUUUACGUCUGCUGUGUCUCCCACGUGGGCAGUAGAAACCACAGAAGAAAGCCAGAAAACCAGCCAGAUAGAUGGCUGCUGAAACAAUUCAAGAGAGACAUGAUGAUCUACUAUAAUGGCGGUGGAGAACAGAUAGAA